GACGAACGCUGGCGGCGUGCUUAACACAUGCAAGUCGAACGAAGUGGCGAACGGGUUAGUAAUACGUGGGUACCCUGCCCUCCUUUUUGGGAUAAGCCUUGGAAACGGGGUCUAAUUCCUAAUAUAGGGGGAUGGGCUCGCGGCCUAUCAGCUUGUUGGUGGGGGGAUGGCCUACCACGGCGGUGACGGUUAGCCGGCCUGCGAGGGUGACCGGCCACAUUGGGACUGAGAUACGGCCAAGACUCCUACGGGAGGCAGAAGUGGGGGAUAUUGCACAAUGGGCGAAAGCCUGAUGCAGCGACGCCGAGUGGGGGUUGAAGGGUUUGGGGUUGUAAACCUCUUACGAUGUCGAACGGGGAGGUGGAGAAGAAGCGCCGGCUAACUACGUGCCAGCAGCCGCGGUAAUUC
rnacentral:rRNA from 1 species